GCCUUCGUGGUGUAAUGGUCAGCACGCUUGACGCGUAUUCGAGAAGUCCGCGGUUCGAGUCCCGACGUGGGCA
rfam:Stegodyphus mimosarum contig66325, whole genome shotgun sequence.